ACCGGUAUAGGUGACGUGACGAAGGAUCAUUGUCGAAGCCUCACAAGCAGUGCGACCCGUGAAUUUGUUUGACUACUCAGGGGUGGCUGGAGGUGUUCGGCACCUCGGUCCCCCUCGUGUCGGGAGGUGCCCCACCUCGCGUGGUCUCCUCCUGGCCAAAUAACAAAAACCCCGGCGCCGAACGCGCCAAGGAAAUUGAAAUCGUUUAGUGCGCCCCCGUUGGCCCGGAGACGGUGCCUGCGGGUGGCGUUGCGACACGCGUAUCCAAAAGACUCUCGGCAACGGAUAUCUCGGCUCUUGCAUCGAUGAAGAACGUAGCGAAAUGCGAUACUUGGUGUGAAUUGCAGAAUCCCGUGAACCAUCGAGUCUUUGAACGCAAGUUGCGCCCGAAGCCAUUAGGCCGAGGGCACGCCUGCCUGGGUGUUGCACAUCGUUGCCCCUGUGCCUUGACCACGUGCUAGGCACCGAGCGGGGCGAAAGUUGGCUUCCCGCGAGCAGCGUCUCACGGUUGGUUGAAAACUGAGUCAGCGGUUGAGGGCACCGUGAUGGAUGGUGGCUGAGUUAAAGCUCGAGACCGAUCGUGUGUGUCCCCUCCACCAGCUUUGCGACUCUGUGACCCAUGGGGGUCUGUUGACCACCUAAGACGGGAACCUCAGGUCAGGCGGGGCUACCCGCUGAGUUUAAGCAUAUCAAUAAGCGGGAGGAGGAA
rnacentral:rRNA from 1 species